GGCGCUCUAGUUUAAUAAAUAAAAUGCUGGUUUUGUAUCUCAGGGAUCUUAGGGAGGUGCGCCU
rnacentral:tRNA from 1 species